AUAUCGAUUCCGCAGUGUGGCGCGGGUCGGCGAUGCAAUGAAUAAUAUAUUGGAAGUUUUCUCCGGGAAAACGUCACGAGGUCCAUCCGACGACACUCCGUCCCCGCACCGUCAGCUGCCGUGGGCUACGCGCGUUAUCCGGAAUUAGAAUGGCUCCAAUAAAUAUGUGGUGAUUCCUCAAAACGUUCAAGCUCCUGCAAAGGUUCCGCGAGUAAAAGAAGUUGGGAAACAUUGGUCUACAGGACCGUCGUUGUCGCGGAGGUAUGUGCGGGGAACUAAUUCACCAAAACAGAACAGACAAGGUGAAAUAUUUAUCCAGAAAAUGAUUAUAAAAUAUUAUAGUAGGUAAGUCGUACAAACAUAUCUUUAUAGCUUAUAGUUGGUGAACUUGAUAGUAUAAUGACUUGACUGCAGCAAGCGGUUUUUAUACAGUUUGAAAUAACCGUAGGUAAGUACACAAUAUUUAAUAAACCUACCAAAAUAAAAUAAAAUAAAUGCAAAGUGAUGUAAUAACGACAAAAUAUAAUUACGGUAAGCGUAAUUAAUUUAACUACGUGAGAAAAAAAAUACUUGUUUCUAUUAUAAUAGUAAUAUUACUAAGUAAAACAAACCAUAGGUAAAUAGGUAUAGUAAUACCUAUGUAGUUUAACUGACAGCUAUUGUAUAGGUGUGUUUUAACACUUUUAACUUAUAAGUUAUAACACAUCAUAUUAUAUUAUAUCAUUUAGAUA